rnacentral:lncRNA from 1 species
GCGAUGGUAAGCGGCAGUGGCCUGCGCCAAGGUAGCCCCCGGGGGGCGGUGUGUGGCGCCCGGACCCGCACCCUCUGCUCCCGGGGGUGGAGCUGACCUGCUUGCCCGCGGUUGGGCUCGGGAGCCUGCGGGCCGCGGCCAGGAGGGAGCUGGCUGGCCGUCCCGGCGGUGGGGGCUGUGGCGGUGGCCGUCCCGCGGGUGUGCCCGUGCUCGGAUCGAUGAUGACACCCACAAACGCAUUCCUUGGAAAAUCUGAACAAAAUGAGUGAGAACUCACUACCGUCUCCUCAUCGCAAACUGAGGUCCGGCACGUGGCUCCCACAGGGGACGUCGGGGGAGGGUCCCGUUGCCUUGGCUCCCUUGGCUGCUGCGGCGGAGAGACGGAGGCCAGCGCGGGGAGCGGAAGCCGGAGCCUGUCGGGAGCGACCCCGGGAAGGCCAGUCCCUCCUGCCGGAGGGAGGCGUGUUGGCGUGCGGCCGGUGGCGGGAUCGAUGGCCACCUGGUAGGCGAUGGUAAGCGGCAGUGGCCUGCGCCAAGGUAGCCCCCGGGGGGCGGUGUGUGGCGCCCGGACCCGCACCCUCUGCUCCCGGGGGUGGAGCUGACCUGCUUGCCCGCGGUUGGGCUCGGGAGCCUGCGGGCCGCGGCCAGGAGGGAGCUGGCUGGCCGUCCCGGCGGUGGGGGCUGUGGCGGUGGCCGUCCCGCGGGUGUGCCCGUGCUCGGAUCGAUGAUGACACCCACAAACGCAUU